CAAGACCUUCCAAAGGAUUCAGACAAUCAAUGGUGAAAAUGGCUGUGUUCAUUACUUGAAACAAACUUGAAUGUUUUAGAAAAUUAUCUCGAGAACUUGCAUUAGUAGUGAAGAUUCCUAAAGGAAAAUCAAUAAUAGUUGAGGAGUAACUGUUGGAAAAUGUUUCAAAAUCAUACCAUUUCGUUUUGGUGGACUUUAGCACUGAGCUCAAACUUUCUUUUUUGGCAUUCAGUACUGUACAUUUUUGCAUGGUUUUGGGAUCAAA